rnacentral:lncRNA from 1 species
UCCAAUCCACUUGUUGUGAACUCUAUUGUGGGUAUUUUAUCCAGCUUUGAGAUUCUGUUGGUCUUCCUCUUUGUCAUAUUUCUUGUGUGGACUUAUUAUGCCCGCAUCUCAAACGAUUUCAAGAAGUUGAUGCCAGUCAAAUCCCUGAAAUUAAACACGUGAGUUGUUUGUGACUGUAUAAACAGGUGAUGAGAUAAUGGAAAGCAAGAUUUGUCUUUACCAUUAUUGAUGCUUCAGCUCUUUUGCAGAUGGCAACUCAAGUACCUAAGAGUUGCAACCCGCUUCGGGUUACUAGCAGAGGCUUGCCUGGCUUUGCUGCUCCUGCCUAUCUUAAGGGGGCUGUCCUUGUUUCGGUUACUCG